rfam:Cuculus canorus isolate BGI_N303 unplaced genomic scaffold scaffold15, whole genome shotgun sequence.
UGCCUCGUUAUUCAGCAAAGGGACACAAUAUGCUGUGUCUCUGAAUUGAAAAACGUGGCUAGAAGAGUAACAGGUUAUGCUUUCCUCACUGCAAAGCUAGUUGCAGUGGUGACAAUGAGGCCUGUAACAAGU